rnacentral:ncRNA from 1 species
AAAGCAAUGAUGAAGAGAAGAGUAGAUUUUAUUAACUCUUAAAGCGAGCUGUGGAUAGUGAAAGCACAGCAGAUAAAGUAUUAUUGAAAGACAUCUCUGAGUUGUUUAUCUGAAAAUCUAUAUGAUUAGUAGGAUAAGACGGAUUUCUACCGUUAAAAGGAAUGAGUGAACCUAUUAUAUGGUUAAACAGGAUGGUACCGUGGGAUUUAACUCUCACUCCUAUA